GACGAACGCUGGCGGCGUGCUUAACACAUGCAAGUCGAGCGAACAGGCCCUGCUUUUGUUGGUUGCUCGUGUGGCGAACGCGUGAGUAACACGUGUGUAACAUGUCCUUGUCUUUGGGGUAACUUUAGGGGACUCGGGCUAUUAUCGGAUAGGAUCUCCUGCUGCGCGGUGGGCGAUGGUGAGUUUCGGUCGUUGGGGCUGGUCUCGCGGCUUAUCAGCUUGUGGGUGGAGUAGUGGCUUACCAAGGCUGUGACGGGUAGCCGGCCUUAGAGCGUGACCGGCGACAUUGCGACUGCGAUACGGCCCAGACUCGUACCGUCCGCAGUAGGCGGGAAUAUUGCGCAACGACCGGAAGCCUGAUGCAGCAACGCCGCGUUCGUGAUACCGGGUUACGGGUUGUAAACCACUUUCUCCUUUGCCAAAGCCUGAGUGACGGUAAUGAGUAAGGAAGCACCGGCUAACUACGUG
rnacentral:rRNA from 1 species